rnacentral:rRNA from 1 species
GACGAAGGGGGCUAGCGUUGUUCGGAAUUACUGGGCGUAAAGCGUGCGCAGGCGGUUGUGUAAGACAGGUGUGAAAUCCCCGGGCUUAACCUGGGAACUGCGCUUGUGACUGCACGGCUAGAGUACGGCAGAGGGGGGGUGGAAUUCCACGUGUAGCAGUGAAAUGCGUAGAUAUGUGGAGGAACACCGAUGGCGAAGGCAGCCCCCUGGGCCGAUACUGACGCUCAUGCACGAAAGCGUGGGGAGCAAAC